UUUCCGUAGGUGAACCUGCGGAAGGAUCAUUAACGUAUUUCUGAAGGCGAGGGUGCGUCCCGCUCCGGACGGAAAGGCUGUGCUGUGGGCGAGUCCGUGCCGCUCAACCUUUGCAAACACCACUGUGCUCUCUUGUCGGCAAAGGGCCCUCAGGGCCCCGAGACGGACCCCAAAUACUCCUUUACAGUACGAACUGUGGACGCUGAGCCGAUUAAACUUUAAAAAUUUUCAACAAUGGAUCUAUUGGCUAUCGCACCGAUGAAGACAGCAGCCGAUCGG
rnacentral:misc_RNA from 1 species